UUAGGAACAGCAAGCAAUUUGGGCAUGAGGUGGUUGCGAAAAUGCCCAGGAGCAACCUUAACUGUCUUACCAGCUUUCCCAAGCUUUUCUAUGUUCUUGAAAGCAAGUGAUAGCCCUGAACCGAAACCUUCAGAGACAAUUAACAAGAAUUUAAAUAUUGAAGCAAUUUGGAUGUAUACAUUAUGAUUUUGAUGCUGGAAGAGAAGAGAAGAAUACGAAAUGGAGAUUCUGCAAGGAAAAUGUGGUAGAAGGAGUGGAAGGGCGCGCCGGAGGGGGGGG
rnacentral:misc_RNA from 1 species